CAGGGAGACAACAAAAUGUUUAAUAUUAUUAUUUUGUCACCUUAGGUCGAUCGGUAUCUCACGUUUUUAAUUUAUUAAAAAUUUCAUUUCCUAAGUUUUUCUAGGUCACACCCAUUAUCUUUCCUGGGCCAUUAGCUCAGGUGGUUAGAGCGCACCCCUGAUAAGGGUGAGGUCCCUGGUUCAAGUCCAGGAUGGCCCAUAUCUCUAUGUUGGGGGUAUAGCUCAGUUGGUAGAGCGCCUGCUUUGCAAGCAGGAUGUCAGCGGUUCGAGUCCGCUUACCUCCACUGAUUACCACCUCUUCCAUAACCGGUAAAAAGGAAAUGUUUUGAGUCGUGAUCUAAUUCUGAAAGAAUCUAGCUUCCUAAUGACAUUCUAAUGAAAUCAUUAAGAUGCUGGACUCAUUGAAUUAAUUUCAUUGUUUUCAGAGAACCUUGACAACUGCAUAGAUUAUUUUUAAAGACAAUAAGCAUCUUUAAUGAUGCAGAUUUAUUAUUUGUGCGAAUGCAUUAAAUAACAAUUCUAUUAAGCUGAUGCUUCAAUUUUUGAAGUUAUU
rnacentral:tRNA from 1 species